rnacentral:rRNA from 1 species
ACAGACCUGAGUGUGGCAGGACUACCCG